UGACCACUGGCUCCCGGAAAGGGUGAGUGUC
rnacentral:piRNA from 1 species